GGAAAUUCCUAACACUGAGUAGGAGAGAGUCUGAAAGCACAGAGCUUAGGUUGUGGGGAGUAGCCGGGGGGGGGGGGGGAGCACCAGAACGCAGAGAUUGCCAAAGUGGUGCUCUCCAGAUGUUUGCAUGGUUAAAGGGGAAUCGGAGCCCCCCCAUCAACAUCUGCAGGGCUCAGCCAACGUUAGAGAGGCAAAGCGUAAGAGUGUGGAAAUUUACCCCGGGGUGUUUGCAGAGCAGCUGGUUUUGAUAGCUUGAGGAGCCAAUGGAGUUCUCUGGCCCCCUGAUGCUGGCCUCCGCCACUCCCUUUUGCAAAUAUCACAGGAGAUGCCAAAGAUUUCCUGUGUGUGUGUGUAUUUCUAAAGAAACUUUGGCAAUGCAUUUCGUUUGCAUAUUGCUUCUUCUCUGGCCUUCCCUUUUUCAUCUGUAGUUCCUGAUCGUGCCUGCAACGUGCUUAGCAACACGGAAAGCUGGCUUAGUGGCUCUGCUUGCUUGCAGGACUCCUUCGAAAUGCAGAGUGCGCUUCCUACUGUCUUAUUAUCCUUGAUUUUGGGUGUCUGCGAUUCCCACAGAUUCCUCCUUUUUGCUAAGUUGCCUGUGAACCUCUGCACUUCUUCUGCAAGUUCUGUUCCGCUCUCUCGAAGUCCAGUAGGUGUACAUUGCUGAAUAUUUCCAGCUUUUUAAGAAAUAACGUCAUUCUAACAACAACAAAACAGGCUUGUGGUUUUCUCUGGGGGAGUUGUGCAAAAAAUUCUCAGUGUUACCUUCUGAGACCUCUCUUCCUUUCCUCUUUGAUGAUAGCUGUCUUCUCUGCAUGUAGCCACAUGGUGUUAAUUUGAGACUAGAUGUUUUGGUGAAAUUAAACAUUAAUACAUACUAUGUGGAGUAGAUGUGUAGCUGUUUUAACAGAGCGGCGAGUUAAUUUUCAAACACCAGCCACACUCUGGGGUGGUUUUUUGUUUUUAUAAGGGUCCGUGUGAAUCGUUGGAUGUUUUUAUGGUAGACUUCUGUGGAACUGAGAGGUUCUGGAGAGCUGGUGUGGCCUAGAGGUUAAGAGGCUGAGCUGAUAUUUCUCUCUUCUCUGCCAUGAACUCACUUGGUGGUCUUAUGAGAACCGUGCUCUCUCUGCCUCAGUCCCCCCACCUGGAAAAUGGGAAACAAGAUUUUUGUACACUCAAAAUUUUUGUGACUCAAAGGUGGAAGGUGGUUUACAAGUAGUCAUAUAAAUAAAGAAUGCUAGCUUACCUGACAGGGAUGAUGUAGCAUCACAACUAGAUGAUCCAUGUGAAAUCCAUUGAACACCUUGAAAACACUCUACAGGUGUUAGACUUUAUCGCCAACAUGGUUGUUCUGAUCUAAAGGAAACUUGGAUUAUUGAAAAAGGUAGAGAAGCAAACAGUUCUGUGUGCUUGGAUCUACAAAUGGAUUUAAACCGACACGGGUGGCGCUGUGGUCUAAACUACUGAGCCUCUUGGGCUUGCCGAUCAGAAGGUCGGCGGUUCGAAUCCCCGCAACGGGGUGAGCUCCCGUUGCUCGGUCCCCACUCCUGCCAACCUAGCAGUUCGAAAGCACACCCCCCCCAAAGUGCAAGUAGAUAAAUAGGUACCACUCCAGCAGGAAGGUAAAUGGCGUUUCCGUGUGCUGCUCUGGUUUCGCCAGAAGCGCUUUAGUCAUGUUGGCCACAUGACCUGGAAAAACUGUCUGCAGACAAACGCCAGCUCCCUUGGCCUGUAAAGCAAGAUGAGCACCGCAACCCCAGAGUCAUCUGCGACUGGACUUUACUGUCAGGGGUCCCUUACCUUUACCUUUUUAGAAUAGAAUAGAAGUGAAACUCAAUUCAGGCAAGAUGGGUUCAUGCGUUCAGGUUAGUAGUCCAGCCAGUGUUGGAUGGAGCUGUACCCCCUUAAAGGAGCAAGUUCACCAUCGGGGUGCGUGUGUAUACCUAGACCCAGGUAUGUCACUAGGGGUGCAUAGGGACUCUGGACAUAGAAUGCCUUCUAUCAGUUUGCCACUGGGGAAUUGCCCUAUUCAGUGGUACAGCAGCUGCUCGGCAUGCAGAAGGUUCCAGGUUCAGUCCCCCAUGGCAUCUUCAGGUAGGGCUGGUGAGAGAGAACCCUGCCUCCAAUCCUGGAGAGCUGCUGCCAGUCAGUGUGAACAACAGCUGAUAAGCUGACGUGGGAUAAAACAGCUCCUGUCUUUCUGUAUUCAUUACUGGUCAGAGAGAGAGCUUAGCCCCAUAUCUCCAUCUCUGGUAAUCGCUAAGGGGCCACCUUUGGAAACAACUGAAUUCUAACUACCUGGGUAUUUCGGGUAUUUCCGUUAAACAACUACACUGGUUGGUACCCAGGUCAUUUCUGAGCCCGCCGAGUUCAAAAGGCUGGUGCGAACUUGGAGGAGCUUCGCUUGCGUUUAAGCCAAGGGCCGUCGGCUUCGGGCGGGACGCUUCCUCGCGGUGAGAAUAUUUGCUUAAUAUUUUAUAUUGGGAACCAGAAGACCACAUCAGUGCAGCAAAAUACUGGAAUGUCUCAAGACAAAUGGGAGGAACAGCUUGCAUUUUAAGUUCUGCCAGAUUAGAGAGCCUGGAUAGGUUGGUUAGAGCGUGCUGCUGAUAAUGCCAAGGUUGCAGGUCCGAUCCCCGUAUGGGUCAGCUGCUUAUUCCUGCGUCGCAAGGGGGUUGGACUAGAUGACCCUCAGGGUCCCUUCCAAUUCUACGAUUCACUCUGACCCUUAGCAUAGAACAACCGGGGUGGAAGAUCUGACAGUCUUCCAAAUGGGGCUCAUGCUCCCACAACACGACAGAAUCAGGAGCGAGACCUUUUCUGUGUAAUUGGAACAUUAAUUGCUCCGUUGGGUUGUCUUUUCCACCUGUGCGCUUUGUAAGAACAUCCAAAUGACUUUCUUUGUGCCAAUGUGCCGUCCACAUGGCAGGUGGCAAAGCAUGUGGGUUGGGGAAAUGCAGCAGUGAUUGUGUACAAAACCCCUGUCUGGAGUUGUGCAUGGCUUUUCACUGCAGAUACCACUUUGGUUAUUUGCCUAAGAUCCGGCAGCCCAGCCACUGCUCAAGCAAUGCUUGGUGUCCAUAUCUGGCCUUGCAAAGGGAUAUUCUUCCAGGUCACAUUUGUGCAGCCCUGUCCCUACGGCUGUAGUUGCACGUCCAAUGUCUCUCCAGCUUGCAUUUAUUUCCCUGCCGGACAGAACAGCUGACAUGCUCUGUCCUGGUCCUCUUCUGCUCUUGGCACGCUGCAAUCUGCAUGACGAUGGCUAAUAAAUUAGGAAUGUUUGGUUGCAGGGAAUCCUCCCUCGGAGUUGAAGGCUAGGAAAGCCGAGCUUGCCUUCCCUUUCAGCCGUCUGAUUACUGGACACGAGUUUAAUUUCAGCUGCUAUAUUCUACACAAACAGAUGGUCACAUGGCAGAAGUGUUCCUGGACUGUACCACUUCAAGCUGCAGGAGUGUGGGAGCGUUCUGCUCCAUUAAAAUACAUAUAUACUCCCUGCACAUAGAAAACUAAGUGUCAGGGAGAAGCGUUCUAGCCUAGCCUUCUACCUGGCAUGCUGUGAAUGUGACUAGAGGAGCCAUUCAGACAUAAAUACAUCCCCCCCCCUGACCUGCAGCGUGUAGUGUAAAGAUGGGUUAGAUUCCAGAUUGGAGGUCCAGAGUUGCAAGGGGCUACAACUAUUCACCCCCAACCAGUGUUCGAAAUUCGCCAGGUGCAUUUUGCACCAGACUAUCGCCCAUUUGCAACCAAGUGAAGGUGCCUGCUCCACCAUCUGGAGGCGCAUGCCUGGGGAUCCUUGGAUCUUGAUCGUUUUCACGCAAUAGCAGCACACCCAGUAGAAUUCUGUCCGUGAUAUUUUAUCUGCACAAUCAGAAUGAAUUUCAGGAACC
rnacentral:lncRNA from 1 species